AGGCCCAGAGGCCCGAGCCCUUGACCUCGGUCUGCACAGCUGGGAAGGCAGCCCGGUGAUUUUAUCCUUCCCACCGGUGCUUGUAGGAGGUAAUACAAGAGGGCAAGGUCACUUAUAAGGAAUUAGGAGUGGGAACGGCUUUGGACUUGACGAGGGCUACACUGACAAGAAGGGGAUGGAGCCAGUCCUACGCGGUUGGCCCCUGCCCAGCUUCUUCUGUAGGAAAAUGAUUUCCAGACUAGAAUUCUACCCAGUGCUAUAGACUGAAUAUCUGCAGCCCCACCCCCAGGAGCCCCCGCUCUGCCGUGGGCAGACCCAACCGUGCCCGGGGCUGAGGGCAAGCAAGGGCAGAAGGCGGCAGACGCCGGAGCCCAGCGCCGGUCUGAACCCCAACUCCACCCCUGCCGGCUGUGUGACCCUGGGCGAGGCACCUGCCCUCUCUGUGCUUUGGGUUUCCCCUUCCAUGAACGAGAGAACGCCUGGGGAUGAGGCACGCGGCUCUCUGUUGGCUGCCUACCACGGAGCCUGUUACCGGGUGAGCUCUCUAGCUUUGUG